rnacentral:ncRNA from 1 species
AAGCGCCGGGCCACACGGGUGACAGCCGUGAGGGUGACGAGGAGAAGGAUCAUCGAAAGAUUCGGCGGAUGUUCUUCCGGCUGAUGGCUCACCAGCCGAUAGAGAAGGGCAAAAAACGGCAGUAAUACCGCAACAGAU